rnacentral:tRNA from 1 species
GCCUUCGUGGUGUAACUGGAAACACGCUCAGCGUGUAUUCAGGAGGUCCGGAGUUCGAAUCUUGGCGAGGGCA